UUGCCUUGUCUUCGAACCCAACUUAUGGAUACAUUAGCUCGAAGUGCCAGUAGAGUCUUACAAUGUUUAAUAAUGAAUCCGAACUCAGAACAAUCCUCCCCAUUGGUCGUCAAAGCAUUUUUUACCAUACGUUCGUCCACUUUGAUAAUACUGACCUAGUGAUAUUGGAGAUUAUAUAUUGCAGGAAAUUACGGUAGCUAAGUAG
rnacentral:lncRNA from 1 species